GCACAAACCCCAUUGCUACACGCUGUACAUGUAUUAUCAAUGCUACCAGCAUUUUAGCUAAGGGAACUAAUUUUUACGAAUUCUGAACAAUUCUGCUGUUAGGGAUACGGACAGUCCAAUUUUUUUUGGCUUUACUUUCGUUUUUUAGCUACGACCAGGAGGAUAUUAAAGGUACAAGUAUAUAAAGCCGGCUUCGAAAAGGAAAGUGGAACUUUAAUCAAGAACAACACGAUGAGUGACAUCCCAAGCCCUAACGUACUGUAUAUUGAACUCAGGGACCAACUCGUUCAAGAUGAGGUAGAUACGAUAGUGGGGUAUUUACGUAAUAACCCGCUUACGCCGAGAGAUCUUGAGGACUGCAAGGGGAAUUUUACAAAUAUUUGUCAAAAGCUUGAAGUCCAUAAGAAGAUUAAGCCAGAUGAAGACGAUUAUGCGUUUCUCGAAAAAAUGUUCGAGAUUCUAGCAUUGCGGACACUUAAAGACAGGGUGCGAAAAUUUGCAGACCUCUGCAGACAUAGCAGAACACCUCAAGCCUAUGAGCAUACGAUCACCGAUGGGGCCUCCGCCGUCAAAGACAAAGCUGACUACGCCGAUCCAGACGAGUAUCGAAAUGAUGGUCGUAGCCAUUACAGGAGUUCUGGGCGUCCAGAACAAGUUGAGGCCACUCAUGGACAAGGUGGCAGUGACAGCACACUUCAGUCGACAGGGGGCGCUCAACCCCAAGGGCGAGGCAAAAUAGGGAAUGUCGGUGGACACGGUAACGUCGGAAUCAUGAGCGCCAAUGCAAUAACCAUUAACCAGACCAUCAGGGCUUAUCUUCCAGGUCAGGCAGUUGAUACGCAGCAGGAAGUGCAAUAUACUAAUGCUGCUGACAAUAACCCACAGGAGUAGGCACUCGCGAGCAACUGUGACAAUAGUACGAAAACAAGCUGGUCCGAGAGUACUGUGUCUUUUAAUACGAAAAUGCGAAUAUGCGAGACUUUCGACUUGGCCCUGGCAUCCCGGUGUAAAAGAAGUGCAAGUCCCCAUGGAAUCUAAGUCCGGUCCUUUUGUUAAAGUGAAUAGAGUCGUUGAGUUCCUUUGUUGAAGAUUAUGUAGCUAACCCUAACCAGAGUCUUUCUAUACAAUAUAUAGAAAGACUCUGCCCUAACCAAACAAUUAACCACAUUCGUUGACAAUACACAGCUAUUGUUUGGGGUCUUGCAUUCCUAGGACGUCCAUUCCUUUUACACCUGUCGAUAUUUCCAUGUUGAGGACAUUCACAUGUAUAUACAGUGGCCUAUUUUCUAACUCCUUGAUCGUGCGACUACCUAUAGUUUGUUCUGUUUCACCAGUACAAAAUCAUCCAGUAUGUACAGUCCUACCAGAAAGUAAAUGUCCACAGGUUUUUUUAAUUGAAUGCGGUUUUCAGCAGACAAUGGUAUAUCUAGUUGGUCUGAUUGACAGUUUCUCUUCCCCACGUCAUGGCUUCGCUGACGACACUCAAGUCUAUGUUGCAUUGCCAAUAGGGCAAGCACAGCAGAAAAUUGUUCAGUAAGAGGACUGCCUGCUCAAGAUUCAGGACUGAUUAGCCAAGAACAUGCUCAAGGGGAACCCAACGAAAACUGAAAUCAAGUUGUUUGGUUCUCAACAAGCUUUGAACCGUCUCAAUAUAGAGUUCCUCUCAGUAGCGGGGAUUGACGUCCAAGUGACAUCAGGACCAGUGAGAAACCUGGGAGUUCUUUUCGAUCAUACAAUGUCAAUGGAAAAUCAAGUGAAUAGUGUUGUAAGAUCUGCAACGUACCAUCUUCGGAACAUUGGCCGGAUACGUAAUUGUCUUACCGAAAGUGCAGCUAAACUCCUGAUCCAAUCCCUUGUGUUAACAAGACUGGAUUAUUGCAACAGCCUCCUUGCCGGCAUUACCAAGAACCUAAUGCACAAACUCCAACUUACACAAAAUCAUGCAGCCAGGAUAAUAACUCGAACUCGUCGUGACCAGCACAUUACACCCGUGCUCAGGAGGCUACAUUGGCUUCCUCUUCCUCAAAGAAUUGACUUCAAGGUGUCACUCCUUUUGUUUAAGUGCAAAGCUGACCUUGCCCCAUGCUAUCUAUCAGAUAUUGUGCCACUGUAUGAACCCAGCCGAUCCGAGGUCCCAGAACCUAGGUUUGCUCCAAGUACCCAGGUACCGCCUGGCAUCAUUUGGUGGCAGAAGUUUUGUGGUGUAUGCUACACAACUCUGGAACAGACUAGACAUGAAUGUGCGAAAUGCUCCAACUGUGAGCACAUUCAAAAAGGUGCUGAAGUCGAGAUUAUGGUGACUUUGUUUUCAAAGCGCAGCCGAGCAAUCAUACGUUAUUGGAUAAUUGCGCUAUAUAAGUCUUAUUUGAAUUGAAUUGAAUCAUGUAUCUGUUGUAUUUGGACCCAGCUAAUCCUGUCUCUUCAUUAUGUAACAGACAGCUGGACAUUGCAAGGCCAAAUGGGAUUACUCCUUCAGAAUAUGGACAGCUACGUGGCAUUCCCCCGAAGGACCAUUGCGCGAUGGAUACAGGAGGAGGAUGAAUUGCGCGAGAGACACCGAGAAUCCACAUUAUUAUUAUUAUUAUUAAAAACAUUUUUAUAGCGCUUAACGUUGUUAAAACUUCUAAGCGCUUUACAAUUUAUAAUAAAACAUAACAUGAUAGAAUAAAAGUCAUUACUAAAGAAAACGUGCAAAGGAUUCAAAAGAAUUUCUUAAAAAUAUGAGUUUUUAGUGCAGUUUUAAAACGACCCAGGGUACUCUGGCCACGAACACUAUUUGGAAGCUCAUUCCAUAGCUUUGGUCCCGCCACUGCGAAUGCAGAGGAGCCUAUCACCCGGUUUGUGCGGACUUCCUUACACAGACCCAUUGUACUUGACCGCAGGGAGCGUCAGGGUUUGUAAACUUCUAAGCAGUCUGCGAGAUAUUUUGGUGCGUAAUCAUGUAGACAUUUGUAGACCAUUAGAUUAACCUUGUACUCGAGCCUUGCUUUCAAAGGAAGCCAGUGGAGUGCGCACAGAACCGGAGUGAUAUGAUCCCCUCUGGACACCCUAGUGACGAGACGAGCUGCCGAGUUUUGAACCAGUUGAAGCUUACGCACAUUGGCCUCCGAGAUGUUAUAUAGCAGACUAUUUGCGUAGUCCAACCGCGAGACAACUAAGGUCCGCACUGCACUUGUUGCUGCUGAUUUACUGAGCAAAGAUCUUAUCUUGCUUAUACGAUAGAGAUGGAAAUUUGCCGCACGGCAUACAUUGUUAACAUGCGUUUUCAUGGACAUUUCUCUGUCAAAUGUUACACCAAGAAUCUUGAUGGUAUCACUCAGCUCAAUUUCAGUAUCGCCAAUUUUCAA